rnacentral:rRNA from 1 species
CAAGUGACUAAGAGCAUGUGUG